rnacentral:rRNA from 1 species
UACGUAGGGCGCAAGCGUUGUCCGGAAUUAUUGGGCGUAAAGAGCUCGUAGGCGGCCUGUUACGUCUGCUGUGAAAUCCCGGGGCUUAACCCCGGGCGUGCAGUGGAUACGGGCAGGCUGGAGGCAGGCAGGGGAGAACGGAAUUCCCGGUGUAGCGGUGAAAUGCGCAGAUAUCGGGAGGAACACCGGUGGCGAAGGCGGUUCUCUGGGCCUGUACUGACGCUGAGAAGCGAAAGCGUGGGGAGCAAACAGG